GGUACAGGAAGCAGCUUGCUGCUUCGCUGACGAGUGGCGGACGGGUGAGUAAUGACAGGGAAACUGCCUGAUGGAGGGGGAUAACUACUGGAAACGGUAGCUAAUACCGCAUAACGUCGCAAGACCAAAGAGGGGGACCUUCGGGCCUCUUGCCAUCGGAUGUGCCCAGAUGGGAUUAGCUAGUAGGUGGGGUAACGGCUCACCUAGGCGACGAUCCCUAGCUGGUCUGAGAGGAUGACCAGCCACACUGGAACUGAGACACGGUCCAGACUCCUACGGGAGGCAGCAGUGGGGAAUAUUGCACAAUGGGCGCAAGCCUGAUGCAGCCAUGCCGCGUGUAUGAAGAAGGCCUUCGGGUUGUAAAGUACUUUCAGCGGGGAGGAAGGGAGUAAAGUUAAUACCUUUGCUCAUUGACGUUACCCGCAGAAGAAGCACCGGCUAACUCCGUGCCAGCAGCCGCGGUAAUACGGAGGGUGCAAGCGUUAAUCGGAAUUACUGGGCGUAAAGCGCACGCAGGCGGUUUGUUAAGUCAGAUGUGAAAUCCCCGGGCUCAACCUGGGAACUGCAUCUGAUACUGGCAAGCUUGAGUCUCGUAGAGGGGGGUAGAAUUCCAUGUGUAG
rnacentral:rRNA from 1 species